rnacentral:rRNA from 1 species
AGCAGCCGCGGUAAUUCCAGCUCCAAUAGCGUAUAUUAAAGUUGUUGCAGUUAAAAAGCUCGUAGUUGAAUUUCGGGACUAGUACGCUGGUCAUGCCUUUGGUAUGUACUAGGUGUUACUGGUUCCUACCUUCUGACGAACCGUCAUGUCAUUCAUUUGAUGUGGCGGGGAAUCAGGACUGUUACUUUGAAAAAAUUAGAGUGUUUAAAGCAGGCUCGCGCUUGAAUACAUUAGCAUGGAAUAAUGAAAUAGGACGUUUGAUCCUAUUUUGUUGGUUUCUAGGAUUGACGUAAUGAUUAAUAGGGAUAGUUGGGGGCAUUAGUAUUCAAUUGUCAGAGGUGAAAUUCUUGGAUUUAUUGAAGACUAACUACUGCGAAAGCAUUUGCCAAGGAUGUUUUCAUUAAUCAAGAACGAAAGUUAGGGGAUCGAAGACGAUCAGAUACCGUCGUA